ensembl:lncRNA
UGAAAGAUGUCCUGGCGAUACGUUUCGCUGCCGUUAAUCUGCGAUGGCUCAGAGUCCAGGAUUGUGCCUUGACCUUCAGGCUGUACAGUAAUCCCGUUAGCCGCGGGCGGCCGGUGUGGAGAUCUCAGCAGACCUGUGCCGGCUGCGCCGCACUCUGGACCUCUACGCCGGCGGCAUGCAGAACCCCCUGUAGACACGCAGGAUGUUUAACUGGGUGGUGAAAGUGGUCCCACAACCCCCUGAAGCUCCUGGAACAGACGACGCCGCCAAGACCCCCGCCGGUGGUUCAACAGGGAAGCAACCUCCACAGAAAAACUCGGAUGAGAAUUCAGAGGACAGCCAGGCCCAGGCGGGAGUUUUAGGCUGGCUGUCCAAUGGGUUCGUCAGCGCCUUGCCUCAACCUUCGGGUUCCCCUCGACUCAGCAGGUCCACCUCUGAUGCCAAGCCAGGAGAGGAUGGAGAGAGGUCUGGAGUGAUAGGUUGGGUGACUCAGGGUCUGACCAAGGUGUUGCCUCAGCCUGAGGAAAAGUACAAGGAGGCGGAAAACAAUGACGAACCCACCGAGAUCUAUGAAGUCGAAACGAUGCCAGAUUUUGAUCCCCUCCCCCACAUCCCAGUGGUGGAGAUUUUGUCGGAGGACGAGUCGGAGGUGGAGACGCCUCAGUUCCCUCCAAACGUGGUGACGUGGAUAAAGCGGAUGGUCCCUCAACCAAUUUUACUGCCCCCUGGUGCCGUACCCAUUGAGCCAUCAAGCAGGGCAUCCCAUUCCUCACUGGACAAAAUUUUGUCUCCACCACCCGAGUCCCUCAGUGGAAUCUCACUGGAUACUGACAGCAAGGCCUCAGCUGUGGUUGGCUGGUUUGUGUCAGGACUCGGCCUGAAGAUGCCUCAGCCUGCACUUCCAUCCAGAGAUAAUGCUGAGAGUGCGACUGAAGUUCUACAGAAAGCUUCAUCCAAACUCAAACCUGACCUGGUCCUCGAAGACGUGGACUCGGACAACGAGGACCAGCAUAAACUCCAAGAUCAGUCCAGAGCUGCGGCGCUGACUCGGGAAGCGACACAGCCGGCACAGGCCGACCCGCAGCCAGAAUCCCCAGACAGUGCGGGAAGGUCUCAAGAAGACGCCGAGACCCAGACGGGCCGCUGGACGCCCUUCAUCGAAAACAUCAAGAAGGAGGCCGAAGGUGCUGCUUUUGCUAACAUGGAGGAACGUCUGCUGCAGGAGCGCGUGGACGUGGCACGGAUUGCUGAGGAGGUGGCCAGAGAGACGGCUGAGACGGCCAUCAGACAGAUGACCAGUGAGGGGCACUCCAUUAAUUUAUCACUGGGGAGUAAAGAGCUGCUGCAAGAGGAGCCUGAAGUCGAGCUGCCAGUGGAACAAGAAGAGGAGAGCGAAGUGGACAAAGUCACAGAAACAGAGCAAAGCCCGGCUGUGGAGACGGAGGAACUAGAGCCAAAAGAGGAAGAAAAGUCGCAGCAGACCACCGCCUCUCCACCUCCAAGUCCUGAACCAGUUCAGAUUGCUGCGCCGGAACCAGAACCAGAACCAGAACCAGAACCAGAACCAGAGCCAGAGGUCGAGCCCCAGGAAGCGCACUCAGAAGCCGAGCCUGUGACCCAGCAGCCACAGAGAGCAGAGGAAGGCGGUCAAAGCACUGAGGCGGACAAAGCUGGUGAAAAAGAGGAGGAAGCUCCUGGAGACGACUGUGGUGCUCCCAUCAGCUGCGAUGCAUUUAAGAACUGCCUGAUGCGCAUUCCUCACACCUCUGAGUGCCUCGGCAACAUCAACGCGUUCUUCAAAGAGAACGGCAUCUCCGCUCCCAAAAUACCCUCCAUGCCUACGCUUCCCACCCAGCUCUCCGAUGUUACCAAGCUCUUGCCCACCCU